CCGGAACCAAGCGGGGAUCCCCUUGGCACGGGGUGGCUGAGCUGCAGGCAGCCCCUGAGCCGCGGCAGGGAUCCCCGCAUUGUGCUCCGGGUGCUUAGAGCUGCAAGAGGGAGUAAAGCAAAGCUAUAACUGCAUAUACCUGCUCUGCUGAUCCUACCUGCCCAGGCACUACUGGAUUUUCCUGUUUGUUAUACAGGGCUUUUCCUGAGUUAGUACCUGUCUCCUGUGACUCAUGUUUUGCUGCUGUUUGGCUUGUUACCCUAUG
rnacentral:lncRNA from 14 species